CACGCACGUGGAGGUUGGUUAAAGGGAAGACCUGGGUUUUAGUCCUGUCUCCAUCAACCUCAAGAAAUGGGACCUCAUGGAAGGGAGGGGAGGCAAUGCCGAGGAUGUGCUCCUGAGCAGGUGCCACAAUUCUUCACCUGUAAGGCUGAUCUAAGAAGAUUCCUAAUUAUCAAUUGAGAGCAGAGAUAUUCCACUUCCAAUUACAUGGCCUGCCUGCUCACUCUUACUUCCUAUUCACACUCUCUUGGAGACCACUUUGUGAUUCUACCAAAUUCUAUAGGAGAGGUGACAACCCCAAAGAGAAGGCUCUAGAAAGAUGACAUUUGGAAAUGUGUACGCUAGUGUCUGCUGGCUCCUCCUGAGCCAUUUUUACUCUGUGAAUGAGAUCAAAGGCCACCUAACUGCCUAAAUCACCACAAAGGGACAAACUGGUAUCUCAGAGCACUCAGCAACAAAAACAAGAAAGCUAAGCCUCUGCACUGCAAUGUGGCAGGGCUUCUGGCUAAGUAUAGCAAGCAAUUCUGAUGUGGAGACAAACAGCAGCAAUGGGAAUGAUAUGCCAAUGAAGGAUUCCAACAGUUGGGUCUGCAAGUGUGCUUGUCCUGUGACACAAACGGCCUAGACAUCUCAGCACUGCUUGGAGCUGCUCAUUGGGGGAGCCUAAGAAACAUCAGCCCUUUCACAACCUCUUGCUCCUGAGCAGAGCUCAUCUCCCAAGAGCACAUCAGCCCGCAGCCCAGUCUGAUGAGAAGCACAGUAUUCCCCUGUGCCAGUGGCAGCCUCAGAGCAUCCUGAAAGAGCGCUUCCUAGACACGCAGUGGAAGCCAUGACUUCCCCUAAGCUGCCGGUGCUGCCUCUGAACUCAUGUGGAGGUUCUUUUUUCAGUGUCCCCAGAGGCAGCAGAAAAAUCCGUUUUCCAUUUUGGAAUCUAUCAAGUAGGACAAAUCUGCCACCUGGGAGCAUCUCCUCAAGGGCAAUCUCUGCUCCCUUUCCUACAUGGCCUGACAAUACCCUCGAGUUAGAAAUGUCCCAUGUUGGCUAGGCACAGUGGCUCAUGCCUGUAAUCCCAGCACUUUGGGAGGCUGAGGUGGGAGGAUUGCUUGAGGCCAGGAGUUUUGAGACCAGCCUGACAUAGAGAGACUAUGCCUCUAUUAUUUUAAAAAAAGAAAUGUCACAUAUUUUUACCCUCUUCACUCAUCUUUCCACCUUGCUCCAAUAGAUUGCUGACAGAAAAGUGAGACCUCCUCCACCCCAAGGUCUCCUAAGAGAAUGCUGCUAGCCAAAAAAAGAUCUGCUGAUAAUUGAGGAAGAGCAUCUUUAAAAAGACACUCAACUACAUUUCAGAAACAUAAAGAUCUAAGUGUUGGCUCUACAAGGGAAGAAAUAAAGAGAAAGAACUUUUUUUCCUCCUACAACAGGUCUAGACAACGUCAUACAAGGAGUUGCACGCAUAUCCAAAACAAAAGCAAGGCAAAAACAAGCAAAAAAGCAACAAAUGCAUUCCAAAAUGAUGUCCAUUUAUCAGCCCAGAAAUGUACUGGAUACUGGUUUAGUUCAGCCUGUAGGUGCUGGGAAGAAAUUCCGACAAAUCCAAGUCAGUUGCAAAAAGGGAAAACUCCAGACAUAUCACCCAAUGAACUUGUAAGAAAGCAUAUGAGCUUCCCUGAACAGAUUUUACUCCAGGUUUGCAGCCCGCAAGAUUUAAGAUGGGGCCAUGAGGUUAAAUCUUGUAAACUCA
rnacentral:lncRNA from 1 species